UACAGAGGUCUCAAGCGUUGUUCGGAUUCAUUGGGCGUAAAGGGUGCGUAGGCGGCGCGGUAAGUCGGGGUGUGAAAUCUCGGAGCUUAACUCCGAAACUGCAUUCGAUACUGCCGUGCUUGAGGACUGGAGAGGAGACUGGAAUUUACGGUGUAGCGGUGAAAUGCGUAGAUAUCGUAAGGAAGACCAGUGGCGAAGGCGGGUCUCUGGACAGUUCCUGACGCUGAGGCACGAAGGCCAGGGGAGCAAAACGGG
rnacentral:rRNA from 1 species